GCCGCGGCGGCGGCGGCGGCGGCGCUCGGCGGGUGCCCGCGGGCCUGAGGGCGGCGGGAGCGGCGGGCCGGCUGGCGCCGCGCAGCCAUGGAGGUGUACAUCCCCUCCUUUCGCUACGAGGAGAGCGAGCUGGAGCGGGGCUACACGGUCUUCAAAAUAGAAGUGCUAAUGAGUGGAAGGAAACAUUUUGUGGAGAAGAGGUAUAGUGAAUUCCAUGCUCUCCAUAAAAAGCUCAAGAAGUGCAUAAGGACUCCAGAGAUUCCCUCAAAGCACGUGAGGAACUGGGUCCCAAAGGUCCUGGAGCAGAGGCGACAAGGCUUGGAGUUGUACUUGCAGACAGUCAUUUUAGAAAAUGAAGAGCUUCCUAAAAUAUUUCUUGAUUUCCUGAAUGUUCGACACGUACCUACCCUGCCAAAAGCAGAAAGCUGUGGCUCUUUUGAUGAAACAGAGUCUGAAGAAUCAAGCAAACUGUCCCACCAGCCUGUGCUGCUGUUCCUGAGGGAUCCCUAUGUCUUGCCUAAAGCCAACGGAUUGACCUCAUGGACUCUUAAUGAAGUUAAAGCCACGGUGACAGAGCAGAACAGUGGGAGCAGAGGUCCUGCAUCACUGAGGUCCACAACACGCAGUUUACACCACAGAGGAAAUGCAGAAUGAGCUUUCUAAAAUGUUGUCUCUGAUCAGUUUCCACUGUGAUGGAUUCCCUUGCAAAAAGCAGCCAGAGCUGUUCCGGCAGACAAAAAAUGACUUUCCAAACGUAGUAAUAGAAGGCAUCCUACAUGGAAUAUUUUAUCCUCAUUUACUGCCAAGGUAGAGGAGAUACGUGGCUAGAAGAAGCUGAAGCAAGUCUCCAAGUAAUGUUUAAUCGAAUCAGUACGAAGAAAAUUGUGAUGUGAUUAUUGUGCUCAAAAUCAAGAGGCACAACCUCGGAUUAAGUUCAAGCAUUACUUUUUUUUAAUCAAUGUCACUACUGUUGCUGCUUUAAAAAAAAAAAAGAUAUGGAAACAACCGUACAGAAGGUAUUUUAUACCUUGUAUAUAGACUCUCUGUAACUAUUUAACACUAAAAACUGAAAGUCAUACACUGAAUUACAUUACCCUUCGAAAAGAAUUAAAAGCUGUACUAAUAUUUUCUGUCAUUUCUACUCUAAAUUACACUAAACCUUUUUGCACCGCGAUUUUUCUCAGCACAUGGACCCAUUGCUGGCAGUGGAUGGAUUGAAAGUGCUGGCACGGAAGUGAGUGCAUGAGAAACUGAGGAAUUGUUCAUUUUUCUUAAGUUAUUUUCAAACUGCUCCUUAAUUUUUGGUUGGAGAAGAGCCAACGCAGGUAUAUGCAGCUGCCAUGAGAAAACAUGCUUCUGUGUUCUGAAAUACAAAGUUCUCUUUUAGAAAAUUGCCUAGACUUCAGUCACAAUGGGGAUACCAGGGGAUCUGGCAUGGCAUUUAUGCAUCUCAUUUGGUUAUGAUGUAUAAUUUGAUGAUGUAUGUCAAUAUGUGUUAUCAUCAUGAUGACGUAUAAUUUGCAUUCCUACUCUUUGAGUUACCUUGCAGACUGUAUUCUGUAUCUUAACAUUUUAUGAGUCACAGAGCAUACAACUCUGUGGUAAGCUAAAGCAAGAAUGUGAUUAAGUAGUAACACGGUAAAACUCAUAUAUAUACUUGUGCGUAUAUAUAUUCAGAUUUAACUGGAAAUUGUAUGUGUGCUACUGGAGAUUACAGAAUAAAUUACUAGAACGUGGAUGUACUGCUU